GGCGCAGGAGCACGCGGGACGCGGGGCCGGAGCGUGUAGGGCCCGCAGCGUCCAGGGCCCGCCUCACGGGGGCGCCCAGCGCCUCUGAAGGGAAAGGACGGCUGAAGGGGGCGGGGCUCCCGGGACACGGACUCCGGCCGGAGUCGGGAGCGGCCGCUGUGAACGUCCAGCUCCACCCCAGGGGACGACAGGCACCCAGCUCAGAUCCUCGUCCCUCUUUCUUUGGAGUCCUCUUCUGUAACCUCGCACCACUGGGAGGCACCCUGCAAGAUGAGAGGAUGUAAAAUCUUACAUGUUACUGCCCGGCACAAAGGCAAAAAAUGAACUGAAACAGGUGCCCACGGGGAUACGAGGGCUCCCAUCCUCACAUUUUCCCAAAAGGCUAUGCCGUGCUCUACCCCAACCUUUGCACACCAACCAUUUAGAACAAAGAAAAAAAUAAACUGAGUAGAGUAGCUUGACUUUGAAGCAAACCUGGCAACAGGACUGGGGUUGACCUCUCUGCCACCAGGCGGAUCUUGAAUCGUUAUGCCCCUUGUCAUUUCAUGACAAACGAACUAAAAGUAAAGACUUGUCAUACUACACAACUCAGGGUGCUGUUUACCUGAAGAAUCUCUAACAAACUGAACGGGGGUGAGAGGGGAGUCAUUAUUAGCAGGAAUAAUGACACAUUUUUUCCUAACUUCAUCAGGGGCUCUCACAUAUUUCUUCAGGCUCCGCAGAUGGCUAACUCUAUCUCCUGUCCAAAAGUGGGGACUAAAGAUGAGCUGAUUCUUGCUAAGUCAGGUCUGAUGUGGAAGUACUUCAGAACACGGAAAGCAGCAAAACUGAAAAGCCCUGAAGAUUUCUUUACCUCCAGAAGAAUCUCUGCGAAUGGAACACACUGGACACGAAUAAUAACAUUUUCAGUCCAGUGAGAAAGUGACUCAUUCACUGAGGAGAAACCCUGGUAACGCUCACAAAGGUUCAGGAGAUCCUUCUCCCACCACGCCCACCAAGAAACACUGUCUGAGGGGCGCCUGGGGGGCUCAGUCCGUGAAGCGUCUGCCUUCAGAUCAGGUCCAUGAUCCCAGAGUCCUGGGAUCGAGCCCCGCAUCGGGCUCCCUGCCCAGCGGGGAGUCUGCUUCUCCCCC